rnacentral:misc_RNA from 1 species
GAUGAAGAACGUAGCGAAAUGCGAUAAGUAAUGUGAAUUGCAGAAUUCAGUGAAUCAUCGAAUCUUUGAACGCACAUUGCGCCCGCUAGUAUUCUGGCGGGCAUGCCUGUCCGAGCGUCAUUUCAACCCUCAAGCCCCCGGGCUUGGUGUUGGGGAUCGGCGAGCCUCCGCGCCCGCCGUCCCCUAAAUCUAGUGGCGGUCUCGCUGUAGCUUCCUCUGCGUAGUAGCACACCUCGCACUGGGAAACAGCGCGGCCACGCCGUUAAACCCCCAACUUCUGAACGUCUGACCUCGGAUCAGGUAGGAAUACCCGCUGAACUUAAGCAUAUCAAUAAGCGGAGGA